UCGCACUGCAUAAUCAGCUGGUAAUUACAGCUUCCAUCUCUGGCUUGUGCCUCCCUGACUUUGGCUCAGAGGACGGGAACCGUUUCAUAUUUAAUCAGUAUUUGAGCCGGAACGCUCUCAAGGGAGCAGGCUCAUGUCGGGGUAGAGAGUCGAAUUCUCAGUGACGUUAAUUAGAACAGGAAAACUACCUGAGCUGGGAGCGGGGCUGCGGUGGGGCCUCCCAGGGACAAAAAAAAAAAAGAGAGAGAGAGAGAGAGAGAGAGAGAGAGAGAGGGCACACCCCGCUCGCCUCACCCCAGCCCAGCACAGGUGAGCCAAGCCGCUGGCAGCUGUCAUCCCCGCCAGGGACAGGACAGAGCCAACGGUCCCGCCGAGGCCUGGGUGCCUUUGUCAAACUGAGCGGCCACUGGCGGUCUGCGGAAGAGUCAGCCACCCUCUCCUGCAGGUCCCCUCAGGGGCUUUCUGGAAGGACCCAGGAGCGAAGGGAGCAGGAAGGAUCACAGUGGCAGAUUAGGGGCAUUUCCAGACCGCCAAGCGAAUGCCUUCUGCAGCAGGGACAGGACCUCUCCUUAAUCGGCCACCACCUCCCUCUCUCCGUUCUCAGCCUGCCGGCCCGAGCCUGCCACGUCCAGCAGAGGGAGAGGAAGGACCCGGCCUGCUGGCCAGAGUCACCCUCACGCGCACAUUUUAACUUUCUGGAACAUCAUGUUCUCUCCCUCCUGGAAUGCGUCGCGGCCCCAGUCCGCGUGCGUUUGUGUGGCUUGCCGGUGAGCUUGGGAAAGCAAAGUCUGUUCUUCCUGACCUGUCCGUCCCAGCACCUAGCGCGGGGCCCAGCACGCAGCAGGUGCUUGCAGAAUGAACAAGCGAACCGAGAGCCGAGCGAGUGACAGGCAGCUGGGAGAGGGCCGUCCUCGGGCCAGGGCCACACCAGUGCAGGCAGCAGGUUAAGAGGUGCAAACCCACCCGGCCGAGACAUGUCUCACAGUGACUUCCGGGAGGAGGGCCCUCACCCG
rnacentral:lncRNA from 1 species